UUUCUUAAUUAGGAGUUGGAAGAACCGUCUCUUCUCUUCUCUUCCUCUCCCUGUCUCUAUCUCUUCCUCUUGUGUCUUUCCCAAUUGAUUAUUUCUCUGAAAAAAGCAAAGACAUCGCCAACCUCUCAGAUACCUUCUCACUUCCUUCUCUACUAAAGCCCUCCGAAUCUCAAACCCUCAGUCACCGCCACCAUCGUUUCUUAGAUCCGUCUUCACCACCACCGCCACGCUCGUCAUAACCACCACUGGUCACCUCUAUUUCAUUGUCUCCAGUAGAUCAGAAGAAGAAGAAAUAUAAACUUCAAAGUCAUUGUUUUUAUGCUCUGAAUUGGUUUCUGAAACGUGUUUGAUUCUUAUUCUCUGACCCUUCGUUGACUUCGAGUGAAGCUAUUCAUGUCGCUACCCUAUGGUACUAGAAGCAUUUAGGGGCCUCAUCUCACGGAGCUCUGCAAUGGAGACAGAGGCCAUGAUGUCAUGAGUGUCACUGUCUGUAAUUCAUAGACAUGAAUCGAGAAGCAAGAUGGCGCGGAGGACAUAGAAAGAGUUCAAGAACGACUCCUGAAAGGUAUAGCCAUGAUGAAGGAGCUGACACUUGAUGCUCCUAUAUGAGGUUAGAGAGCAUGCUUUAGGGGUUAUCGAUGAAGGUAAUAAGAGGAAGUUUUCAAGGAGCAAGCCGCAGGUUUCUUCUGCAGGGAAGAGAGACAAUGAUGAUUAUGUAAUCCCUCCGACUAAAAAGUUGAUCACCAUGUCACCAGAGGGAGAGACAUACAAUUUGUUAACGAUAUGAGAGCUACUACACUUGACAAAGGUCUCAGUUUAGCAACUUCUGUUGGUAUUCUUAUAAAUGGGCUUGGACCCGAAGAAGCCAUUUUGCAUUUCAAGCACGUGGUUUCUUUUUAGAAAUAGCAUAUAAAGUCACAUUAAUCAUAUAUUUAUCUCUGAUCAUCACAAACGCCGUCUUGUUCUUUGUGUGCAUAAUAAGAGAUCCUUAUUGUUUAGAGAGUUAGGGUUUACGUCUUGUAAAACAUAAAGGCUGGCUGAGAGACUGAGAAUAUAAAACAUGUAAGAGAUCCUUUAACUUUUUUGUUUAUUUUUCUUUUUUGAUAAACCGUAAAUUAUAUUACCAAAAGAAAAUUGGUUACAUCAGCUGCAAAAGCAGGGAGCUUCUAUGGCCAAAAAAAAAUGAAAAACCAGUGAGAAGCUAUAUGAUUGGAACAACCAAAUUCAACUAGAGUUAGCUAUAAGAAAACCACAGAAAGAGCAGGUUCCCACACCCUUUGUUAUGUCUUCUUGCUAGUAGAGUGUCCUUCGUUGUCCUGUCAAUUUUGUUGAAUAAGACAAUGGACGUUGAAGGAAGCCUCCCAUGUUUCCUGUCAUUUCUCUCCUUCCAAAUGAGGUAGACUGCUGUUUGGCACACAAUUUUCCUGAGAUAUCUUCGCCAUGCUGAUCCAGUCCUCGAAAGAAGCCAUUCAAUCAAGUCAUUCCAUGAUGUAAUUCGAAUCCCUGGGGAGCCAAGUUUCUGUUUAACGCGGUCCCAAACGUCUGCUGCGAACAUGCAUUUUAGGAACAUAUGAUCUCUUGAUUCUUGGUCAGUGGAACAUAGGGUACAAAGUCCUGAGUCCAUCAAACCCCACUAAUGCAAACGCUCAUUUAGUGGGAGCCUAUUGAGAUUAGCCACCCAGAAAUUAAAAGCAUGUUUUGGAACCAUGCUCUUGAACCACACCACCUGUGACCAUUCCUUUGUCUCAGCCCUUGACCUAAGAAAUUCCCAAGUUUUAUUUGUAGAGAAACUACCACUGGAACUGUUCGAAGGACUCCACAUGAAUAUAUCUGGUUCAGAUGGAACAGCUUGAUGAGGCCAAUCCCUAAGCGUUUCCCUUACUAGGGAUACAUUUUGAUUCCGAGUUCGAGAAGGAGCCUGCCAGUCCCUUACCAACAGCGCUUCAGAAACGGUUGAUUGAUCCUAGAUACCCAUUAAGAGAGGUCCAUUUAAGCCAAUGAAGCGAAUUAGAGGACCGUGAAUAGACCAAUUAUCAUACCAGAAACUGAUUCUCCUUCCGUCUCCUACUCUACAACUCAACAUCUGACUCGCUAGAGGUCGGAGGGAUAGGAGAGUUUUCCAAAUCCACGAAUCUGUUUCUUUUGCUUCAAGCGACCAAAAUUUCCGUCGUUUAAGUUUGUGAUCCUACAGAGAGUUCAGGACCAAAAAUCCACGAGAUCCUUUAACUUCAUAAUUCAGGACCAUUUAUGAUCCUACAGAGGGUUCGUAGAUUCAGAAACUGAACCGACUUGGAUUUACCCUCCUACUAAAUUUUAGACUCAGCCACCAGGUUACUAAUUUAUACGUGACCGGUUAAGAUUUACACUAUAAGAAAACAACGGUAUUCUGACGGACAUUCCGACGGAAAAUGAAAUCC